rnacentral:rRNA from 1 species
CACGCCGCGUGAGGGAUGACGGCCUUCGGGUUGUAAACCUCUUUUAGCAGGGAAGAAGCGAAAGUGACGGUACCUGCAGAAAAAGCGCCGGCUAACUACGUGCCAGCAGCCGCGGUAAUACGUAGGGCGCAAGCGUUAUCCGGAAUUAUUGGGCGUAAAGAGCUCGUAGGCGGUUUGUCGCGUCUGCUGUGAAAUCCCGAGGCUCAACCUCGGGCCUGCAGUGGGUACGGGCAGACUAGAGUGCGGUAGGGGAGAUUGGAAUUCCUGGUGUAGCGGUGGAAUGCGCAGAUAUCAGGAGGAACACCGAUGGCGAAGGCAGAUCUCUGGGCCGUAACUGACGCUGAGGAGCGAAAGGGUGGGGAGCAAACAGGCUUAGAUACCCUGGUAGUCCACCCCGUAAACGUUGGGAACUAGUUGUGGGGACCAUUCCACGGUUUCCGUGACGCAGCUAACGCAUUAAGUUCCCCGCCUGGGGAGUACGGCCGCAAGGCUAAAACUCAAAGGAAUUGACGGGGACCCGCACAAGCGGCGGAGCAUGCGGAUUAAUUCGAUGCAACGCGAAGAACCUUACCAAGGCUUGACAUACACCAGAACGGGCCAGAAAUGGUCAACUCUUUGGACACUGGUGAACAGGUGGUGCAUGGUUGUCGUCAGCUCGUGUCGUGA